rnacentral:pre_miRNA from 1 species
ACAAGGCAAGAUGUUGGCAUUGCUGAAUUUGUGUAACUAAAAAAUAUUAUUUUAUUUACACUUUUAAAUGUAUCAGCCAUGCUACAUUAGGCCAUGCC